rnacentral:rRNA from 1 species
CACACCGCCGUCACACCAUGGGAGUUGAUUGCGACCAGAAGUAGGUAGCCUAACCGCAAGGAGGGCGCUUACCACGGUGUGGUCAAUGACUGGGGUG